rnacentral:lncRNA from 1 species
ACUUUAAAUAUUCAUUUGAUAAACCUGUGUGUAUUUAAAAAAUGUUUCUCUUUACAAAAAUAAGAUGGUACAGUUUAUGACUGACUUUUGUUUAUCUCUGUGUAGAACUAAAUUGAAAUAUACAAAUCUAAAAAAAUAUUUAAAUGAAAUAUGUGAACGGCAGAAGAACUCUCUGCUCCGAAACCAAGAUUUAUUAAAAGAAUUUGAUUGCAUUGAAGCUCACAUUAGGAAGUUUGCUUCAAGAUCAGAGUCUCUUCAAAAGCUAAAGGCAGAAUAUGAAAAAGAAAUUAAAAAUAAGCUGUUAGUUGAGAGAAAAGAUACGUUUAAACAUGAAAUGAGAGGUGCUACUAAACAUCAGUUUUGGGGAGCACCAUUCACUUGGACAAAAAUAUACUGCAGGAGGAAGAUAAAAGUUUAAGUAGCAGCACUGAUCUUACUGUUUCAUUGAGUGAGGAGGAAGAGGAAUCGAAUUCUUUGAAAUUACAACGAAAUAUAAACAGUACAGAUUACAAACUUGAUGACAUAAUAUGUAAUAAUGAAGAAUAUUUUCAAAGAAAAAUUUCAACUGAGCACUCAUCUUCUGACCCCAAACUAAGGUAAAACUAAACCAGUAAC